rnacentral:rRNA from 1 species
UACGUAUGGUGCAAGCGUUAAUCGGAAUUACUGGGCGUAAAGCGUGCGCAGGCGGUUUUGUAAGUCUGAUGUGAAAUCCCCGGGCUCAACCUGGGAAUUGCGUUGGAGACUGCAAGGCUAGAAUCUGGCAGAGGGGGGUAGAAUUCCACGUGUAGCAGUGAAAUGCGUAGAGAUGUGGAGGAACACCGAUGGCGAAGGCAGCCCCCUGGGUCAAGAUUGACGCUCAUGCACGAAAGCGUGGGGAGCAAACAGG